UCCAGACUCCUACGGGAGGCAGCAGUGGGGAAUAUUGCACAAUGGGGGAAACCCUGAUGCAGCGACGCCGCGUGAGUGAAGAAGUAUUUCGGUAUGUAAAGCUCUAUCAGCAGGGAAGAAAAUGACGGUACCUGACUAAGAAGCCCCGGCUAACUACGUGCCAGCAGCCGCGGUAAUACGUAGGGGGCAAGCGUUAUCCGGAUUUACUGGGUGUAAAGGGAGCGUAGACGGCAUGGCAAGUCAGAUGUGAAAGCCCGGGGCUCAACCCCGGGACUGCAUUUGAAACUGUCAGGCUGGAGUGCAGGAGAGGUAAGUGGAAUUCCUAGUGUAGCGGUGAAAUGCGUAGAUAUUAGGAGGAACACCGGUGGCGAAGGCGGCCUGCUGGACUGUAACUGACGUUGAGGCUCGAAAGCGUGGGGAGCAAACAGGAUUAGAUACCCCGGUA
rnacentral:rRNA from 1 species